AUAAAUGAGCCUAACACAAGCUGAGCCUGGGCUCGCUUUUGUUCGGCUCAUUUACACCCCUAAUUGAGGUUCUCAUCAUAAACUACUGAUAUCUGCAGCCAUUGCUGGUGUUGUGGCAUACAACAAUAACAAGCUCAAGAAGGAAGCAUCUGGGAUCAGUCCAACUGGAAACACUGAUUCUAGAGAUGAGUUGAGAUCAGAUGAUAUUCGCGUACAACUGACUUCUUCCAACGAAACAAGAUAGAUUUCAUUCUUUUCGUCUGAAAUGCCAACUUCUUCUCUGUAUAUCAUUGAUUUGGAGCAGCACGCUGCGAAGCCUGAAGAAAUCACUGUCAAGGUUGAUAUCUUUGCAUCUAGCAUUUAUUUUCUUUAUUUUUUUCUUAAACUAGUUCUUCAAACAAUA